AUGAUAUCACCUGUGCCCUCCCCUCUGAGUCUGUCCAUUGAUCUGGGUGGAAACAUCAAUACUAUUCUAAUUAACUUAACUGCUCCAGGUGCUUCUAGGGUGAGAUCAGGAUUAACCGUGAGAGUGACUGCGUAUAUCUGUGAGAGCUGCAUCCAGGCUUUGGUCCAAGGAGAGAUAACAGAAUCUGCUCUACUUCGGUUUAGAAAUGACAGAAAUUUAUCUAUUGAAAUAAGCCUUGAAGUACUGGGAGAGGGGAGAUUUGACAUGGAGGUGAGUGUGAUUUUUCAUUUUAUGUGGUUCUUUAUCUUACCAAGAGCAGCGAAAUAGUGUGAGAAUAUUUUUCUUCAAUGAUUUUAAGAAAAUAUUUAUAUUAGAACUCAUUAUUCUUCAGUUUUACUUGUUCUUAUGGUGUAAGAAUUACUUUCUCUAUUUUGCAAAUGAGUCAGCUGAGACAGAUUAAAUGAUGCAUCCAAAGCCAUCCAGCAAGAAAUUAUUCUGAAUGUGGAUGUGAACUCAAGUCUUCCUGGUGUCAAUGUUCAUAAUAUUUCUCUUUUUAUAUACUCUCUUCCUUUAUUUUAAAACAUAGGAUUAUGAGGCUUCAGAGAUGAAAGAACAUUUGAGAUUACUUAUUCCAACUACUUCAAUUUAUGUUUUAGGGAAAUGUACCAUAGAAGAGUUAUACUACUUACUUAAGAUCAAGUAACCAGUUACUACAAUACCAGCCUUAUGAUUGUGGUUACUUUCCUUCCAUAUUUCAGAAACUAACAUAUUGGCUAAAUUCUUUCACUUACUGGAUUUAAAUUAAAAAUACACUCCUGAGGUGGGGAGAGGAAUUAGAAAAAAAUGUACCUUUUGGACAUAUGACGAUUUUGUAUGGAUAAAACUGCACCCCUGCCUCAAUGUCUGGUGUCAAGGUGAAAAGAUUGGAAGUGGACUUUAAGACCCCUGUCCACUUCAGCUGGACAUGUUUGAGGCAUGUACCAAUUCAUGACCUUUUGUAGUAAUUCUUCAAAUAGAAAUUUAAAAGAUCUUUCUUUUGUCUCUUCUUACACAGCAUCCCCUUUAUCUUAUGUCACAUGGUUUUACUUUGCUGCUCUAGUCUCCUUUUCGGGUGUAUUGUUGAUACGUUACUACAACCAAGGCACUGAUUGUUGCUUUAAUUAUUGCUCUUAUGAGUGUCUUGGUCUCAUGCCAAUAUAAACAGUGCUUUCAUCUUUAGGGCUUUAAGCAGUCACUCCAUUAUACAGUCAUAUGAGCUGCAGACUCCAUUGCAAUAAAUCUGUUCCCAAUAGACCCUUUAGACUUAUAUUCAAUUACCCUUUCACUCAUAAGCUUUUAACAUUGUAGGCCAAAAUUGAGCAUCUUGUUCUACUAAUUAUAAACAAUAAUUUUUUAAAUCUAAUUAACUUUAAUUCAGAAAUAAAACUAGCAACUCGUGUGCCUCUAAACUAGUAGUUCUCAAAGUAUGCUCCCUGAUUCAGAAGCAAUAACAUCACCUGGUCACUUGAUAGAACUGAAACUUCUUGAGCCUACUCAGGAAUCACUACUGAGUGAUUCUGAUGGGCACAAAGUUUGAGAGCAACCUAUCUAAACCAUGAUGCUUUACUUGCUUUAUCCUUCAAACAUUCUACACUAAAACCACGAAUGAUGGACCACACAUUUUCAAUUAUGCCACUAAAUUUGCCUAUGUUUCUCUUUCCCAAAGAUCAUGUGUAAUUUAGGGAAACUUGAAAGUGGACUGAAAAAAAAAUAUCAUGGGAUAGAGAGCAUACCAAAUGCCAAUAUUGGCUUCAUGGUAUACACUAUUUCCAA
rnacentral:lncRNA from 9 species